GUUACUCUUUUGUACUUUGUCUUUUUCUUUUAUUUUCUUUUGAGCGAUUGUGCGAACAUAGCAUAGCACGCACUAUGCCUUCUGUGUUGUAGCUGCCUGGCCAGGGCGACUGGCGGAUAAGGUCUUGUGCGUGGCCUCGAGGCUUAAAAGUAGCAGUGGGGCUUUGUGAAGGACAAAAUGGCGAUGGCGGGCCGUGUAGGUCCCCCUUCCUAUGAUGAGGACCUUUUCACAGACCUGUACUGAGCUCCGUGAGGAUAAAUAACUCUGAGGAGAUGGGCCCUGCAAGCCUCUUGCUUAGCCGUCUGUUCAGAAAAUAGCGUUUUCGAAAUGCCCUGAGUUGACCUAAUGUCUUAUUGGGCUCCUGUCUGCAGGAUUUACGCGCACGUUGGAACCGAAGAGAGCUCUGUUGUUGCAAUGUUCAGCCCACAAGAGCUUACUGGUGAAGGAAUGGGACAAGACCCAUCUUUAUGCAAAGCCAGCGUUACAGUAAUGUUCCAGCAUCUCAUAAUCUAUCCUGGGGAAUUCAGCUGCCUCCCAGGGUGAAUACAGGUAUUCCUGAUGACAGUCUGCCUCUAUCUUACAGAGCAGCUUGUUGCUAUAUACCAUUGAAAAGCCUUCAGAGCUGAGAGGUUAGUUGAUAUUUUUUGUUCCUUACAGCUUAUGCCACCAAGUAGGCAGUUUCUAUGAUGAAUCAAACUAGCUCACUAUGACCGACAGUGAAAAUACAUGAACACCUGAGAAACUGGAGAACGCAGGGAGUGGGGGGUAACCAUGUCUGAGGAAUCUUUCACCCACAGCUUUGUUUUUCUUUAGGUACUACUAACCAAUAACCUGCUUGGCUCAAAGGGCCAGCACCUUCUCUCUAAAGCCCAAGAGGAGUUUGAGGUAAAUGGCUUUGCAAUAGUUACCAUCAAUGGCUGCUAUAUAAAAUUUUCUGUGAUUUUUGUGUGUGAUAGCACUGUGGUCUGGGUGAAUGUACACAGACAUAACUGGCUUAACCCAAAGUCUUUGAUCUCCUGAACCACCAGUGAUGAAUUGCUGCUCACCAGUGAUGAGUUGAAUACCGCCCCAGUCUGAUCAAUGUGUGACUGAAAGGUAUUUUCUGAGCUGUGAGCCUGCCUUCCAGUGACAUGUUCUAAAAAUUGCAAGUUAUUUGAGGAGGCUUUACAGCCAAUAGGAAGUUCUUGGGCUAAGUAGUGUUUCCUAUAAAAUGUGCCCUGAAACUUCUUUCUGCCAAGCAAUAGAUACAAUUGAGAGAUUGUAAAAUGUGACAUAGAAUGAAAGUCUCUCAAGACUACAUUUUUCUUUCUUGAUUUUGCAGGAAAACUAGGUGUCUGUGUUCACUCCAGGCUGAAGUUACAGGUGAGUAAACCUAAAUGUAAGGUGGACUAUGCUAAAAAUUCCCAAUGAAGAAACUUUCACAUGUCUUACUCUCUGUCCUAGUCCCAGAGCCUGUAAAGGUGAACCCACUGGGACUGGCUGGGGGAGAAGAGGAAGAUUUGUUCCAGAAGGAACUGUCUGAGGGAUGAUAAAGAUUUCUAUACAGAGAAAGGGAGUAAUCAUCACUUGUUGAAAACAUUGGUUUUAUUUUUUCCAGGUCUGAGCAAAUAAGGUGUAUAAAAAAUGGAAUCUGUCUUGGAGGACAUCAGAAGGUGAAUUUUCCAAGUUCUUGGACAACCUAGCUGUUGAAAAGCUUUCUGGGUUUGGGGGGUAUUUCAGAUGUACCUUAAAGUGUUAGCAGACACAGAUUAAGACACUGGGAGCCAAUGAAACAGCAGUUGAGGGUUUGCUGUGUAUCACAUUUCUGUAUUUUAUCACCCCCUUCCUGCAACAUUAUUUAUCUGGAAUCUACCUGCCCUUUUGUUUUUUAGAUACAAGGGCUUGGUUUUGUUACCCAGGCUGGUUUCAAGGCCAUAGCUUUAAGAGAUCCUCUCACCACAGAUUUCCAAAGUGCUGGGAUUGCAGGUGUGAUUCAUGGCACCCAGACUUUGCUGCCUUUCUUACAUGAUCCAGGCCCAGAACCCAAACUCAGGCACUGUAUAGAUGACCACUUUCGUAAACUACUGACCUAGCUUGUUGCCAAUUGUUGAUUGAACUUCCCAUAACUCCACUUCGUGUCUGUUCCUCUGUAUACAGCCACCUUCUGUUCCCGUCAUGAGCCUUUAGGUCUCCAUUUGCAUAUUGCAAAUACUAUGUUCCAUGUAGGUAGCUCAUUCAGGGCCUUGCUCUUCACUUCAAAAAAGGUUCCCUUGAGGACUGGCUGUCAAUUUGUGUUGCUGUGUUGGUUGUUGAUGAAAAUAAUAAAAUGA
rnacentral:sRNA from 1 species